rnacentral:tRNA from 1 species
GGGCCGGUGGCGCAGACUGGUAGCGCGCCCCCUUGGCAUGGGGGAGGUCGGGGGUUCGAAUCCCCCCCGGUCCACCA